rnacentral:rRNA from 1 species
UACGUAGGGACCAAGCGUUGUUCGGAUUUACUGGGCGUAAAGGGCGCGUAGGCGGCGCGGUAAGUCACUUGUGAAAUCUCUGAGCUUAACUCAGAACGGCCAAGUGAUACUGCAGUGCUAGAGUGUGGAAGGGGCAAUCGGAAUUCUUGGUGUAGCGGUGAAAUGCGCAGAUAUCAGGAGGAACACCGGUGGCGAAGGCGGAUCUCUGGGCCUUACCUGACGCUCAGGCGCGAAAGCUAGGGGAGCGAACAGG